rnacentral:misc_RNA from 1 species
UUUCCGUAGGUGAACCUGCGGAAGGAUCAUUACAGAGUUCAUGCCCUCACGGGUAGAUCUCCCACCCUUGAAUAUUUAUACCUUAGUUGCUUUGGCAGGCCGUGGAAACACCAUGGGCUCCGGCUUAUGCGUGCCUGCCAGAGGAAACAAACUCUGUUUUUAGUGAUGUCUGAGUACUAUAUAAUAGUUAAAACUUUCGACAACGGAUCUCUUGGUUCUGGCAUCGAUGUAGAACGCAGC